rnacentral:lncRNA from 1 species
UCCGUAUCAAAUCGGCACACCACCAUCUCAUCCUUUAAUAUGAAACCAAAAAUGCCGACAACAAUUGUUUUUCCGGUAACACUCUUAAUCUCAGGUUCUUUCAUUUUUUAAAUCCCUAAUUUUCUUCAAUUGUAUUUCUAACCCUCUUUAUCGUUUUUUUCAAUUCUGAAUUAGAGGCAAAAAAAAUUGGUCUGAAACCCUAACAAAUUAAUCACGUCAAUCAGGUGAGAGAUAUCUAAUUUUUUUUUGUUUCUGUUAUUGUUGUUUCAAAUGAAUUUUGAUAUAUUUUGCUGUUUUCACUUAGAUACAUGGAGUAACUUUGAUUUUGAUUUCAAGCAAAAUAUCAAUUGAAGCGGCGAUGUAUUGAAGUAACUUUGGUGAUCUUUGGAUUUUCAUGAAGGAAUGUUCAAAGGGCUUCUCAAAAAACAAGGUAGGUCUUUUGAUUUUCUAAAUCUACUGUUUAAAUAUUUUACUAUAAUAAUGAUUGUUUUUCUAACUCUAUUGAUUUCAAUAUUUGCUUUAAUUGGUGUUCCUAAUUUGUUUUCUAAUUUCAUUCAAUAUUUGCUUUAUUGUUUUCUAAUUUCCUAAUUUGAAUUUUUGUGUCAAAGAAAAAACUUUCCUUGGAUUUCAUGAGUUUUGAUUAUUUGUUUUUUCUUUGAAUUUCUGUUGAAAUUAUUAUUAUUAUUAUUAUUAUUAUUAUUAUUAUUAUUAUUAUUAUUAUUAUNNNNNNNNNNNNUUUUUUUUUUUUUUUUUUUUUUUUUUUUUGUAAAUAAGUUUUGAUUGUUGGAUAACCUCAGUUCCUAAUUUUUCUCAAUUGAUAACAACCUCUUUUUAAUUUGAUUUCAAAUUAGCAACUAAUAUAAAAUAUCCUAUCAAUUAGUUGUUACUUAUUUUACUUAAGUGGCAACCACUUUAAUUAGUUGUUCUUGAUGGCAACCACUUUAUUAUAUAUCAAUGCAUACAAAAUAAAAUCAAUUAGCCGUUUACCAAUCCCUAAUUUUAUUCCAUUCUCUUUUUUCGGCAAAAGACAAGUAACAGUGAUUUUGAAUACAAGGAAAAUCAAUUGAAGCUGCAAUGGAAGGAACCUCCAUCAAGAAGGAAACACCGUCGGAUCUGUUAUUAGCAAGGACACAUAGCAGGAACCAGUUCAAGUGAUAUUAUUAUUGUUAAUGUUUUUUUUUAUGGUGUUUUGGUUUGAUGGUGUGCUUUGUGACAGUUUUAGUUGAUGUUAGUUUUAUUGUGCUGUUAUUUAUAAGCCUAAGAAAAAUUAAGAACUCUCAAUCUCUCAUAUUUACAUGAAAAGAAAAAUCUGGUAUAAAAAAAUGUCAACCAGCUUUGGAUUAUGAAAAAAGAUGUUUCUCAUUAUUGUGUUUCAUUCAUUUUCGUAUUUCAUAUCAUUAUAUUUUAUUCCUUCAAUUUGUAAUGAUGUUGCUUCCUGCUCGACUUAGAUCUUUGCUUUAUUUUUUUGUUUUUAUGUGCAAUCAGAGGUUCUUGCUGCUCAUCAAUUUGAGGAUAAAUAAAGGUAUGCCAUGUUAACAAUCAAAACAACUAUCCAUUUUCUUUCUAACAUGAUGAGAAUUUGCUUCAUCUUUUCUCAAGGUUUUUUUGUUCCGUUCUGUUUAUUUCGAAAUAUCUUAUUUGAAUUGAGGGGAUGAAGACUAUCAAAUUGAGGGGUCAAGUUUAUGAAUUUCCAUGGAUUAGUUUUUUAUGAAACUAUAUUUAUAUGAAUUAGAUUUGCUUGAAUUAGUGUAAUGAAUAUGAAAAAAUAUGAUUAUUUUUGGAUUUUUUUUUAUUUUUUCCUGAUCAAUUUUACAAUUUUACUUUAGUUGCAUACUUUAACUAUACAUUUGGUC